rnacentral:rRNA from 1 species
CCCUUAGAUGUUCUGGGCCGCACGCGCGCUACACUGACGAAUGCAACGAGCUUAUAACCUUGGCCGAAAGGUCUGGGUAAUCUCCAAAUUUCGUCGUGAUGGGGAUAGAUUAUUGCAAUUAUUAAUCUUCAACGAGGAAUGCCUAGUAAGCGCAAGUCAUCAGCUUGCGUUGAUUACGUCCCUGCCCUUUGUACGCACCGCCCGUCGCACCUACCGAUUGAAUGACCCGGUGAAAUCUUCGGAUCGUCGUAUUGCCCGAUUCAUUUCGGGCGAUGUGACGCAAAGUUGAUUAAACCUUGCCAUUUAGAGGAAGGUGAAGUCGUAACA